rnacentral:rRNA from 1 species
CCUACGGGAGGCAGCAGUGGGGAAUAUUGCACAAUGGGCGAAAGCCUGAUGCAGCGACGCCGCGUGAGGGAUGACGGCCUUCGGGUUGUAAACCUCUUUCAGCAGGGAAGAAGCGAAAGUGACGGUACCUGCAGAAGAAGCACCGGCUAACUACGUGCCAGCAGCCGCGGUAAUACGUAGGGUGCGAGCGUUGUCCGGAAUUAUUGGGCGUAAAGAGCUUGUAGGCGGUUUGUCGCGUCUGCCGUGAAAAUUCGCGGCUCAACCUCGAACUUGCGGUGGGUACGGGCAGACUAGAGUGUGGUAGGGGAGACUGGAAUUCCUGGUGUAGCGGUGAAAUGCGCAGAUAUCAGGAGGAACACCGAUGGCGAAGGCAGGUCUCUGGGCCACUACUGACGCUGAGAAGCGAAAGCAUGGGGAGCGAACAGGAUUAGAUACCCUGGUAGUCCACGCCGUAAACGUUGGGAACUAGGUGUGGGUCUCAUCACGAGAUCGUCGCGCACGCUACGCAUUAACGUUACCCGUCCGUCGGGAGGUACGGCCGCCGACGGACGUAAACCGUACGAAACGAAGUAGUACGGCGUGAGACGUCGCCGACGGACGACGACGACGGGAGGUUAGG